rnacentral:misc_RNA from 1 species
AGGUUUAUUGAUUUGUUAGCUAAAUGGCCAGUGUCGACACAUGAUGCAUUCAUCUUUGACAACUGUGGACUCGAGAACCAUUUAGAAAGACACAAACUUGGUCACCUCCUAGGUGAUUCUGGAUAUCCACUCAGAAAAUACCUCAUUACGCCAGUAACAACUCCAACCACUGAGAAGGAAGUACAAUUCAACCAAGCUCAUUCAAUUGGCCGGAUGGUGGUUGAACGAGCAUAUGGAAUGCUGAAAUCUAGAUUUAGAUGUUUGCACAGAACGGAAGGAGUUCUAUACAAAAGUCCUGGAAAGUGUUGCCAAAUUGUAACUGCAUGUACAAGACUGCAUAACUUCUGUUUGGAAAGAAACAUACCAUUACUAUAUAACAAUCGAGUCAUUGUUGACAGACAGGAGGAGGUUCUUACAAAUACUGCAGAUCUAAAUGCUGUUGCUUAUCGGCAGCACCUCAUUGAGCGUUUUGGGUAGAAGAUGGAUUUCCUCAUGUGUUUAGGUCAGAGUCACAGACUGUUGUUGCAUGGCAGAAAUAAUGGAGCAUUUGAUAAUUUUAGCUGGACUUUAAUACACCCAAUGGCAUGUUAAAUAUUCCUUGCUGGAUCCUAUCUAUAUAUUUGAAACGUUUUUAUGUCUAACAUCUGUUAACAACUGAAUACAACUUUAUAAACUAUACAUUGCUUAAGAAAAAAUAUAUCUGAUCCUGUGAUUGUCGUUGAAUAAAAUCAUUGUCUGGAGUUCAGAUGUGAAGAGAUUAUAUCAAUGGCGCAGCCCGAGUGUUAUAAUAAUACGCAUCACAACUACAAUGAUUUUAUUCAAAAGCAAAUCAGUACAUGAGAUAUAUUAUUUUGAUUCUAACAUGUUACCAAGGAUUUUUAAGUACAUCCAUCAAAUAUUUGCCUGAUUUUGUUAGUUACUCUUUCAACGCGCCGCUUUGCCGUAAAGACACUAUGACGUAAUAAUUGUGAAGUCGUAACAGUGAUUUGUUGUAAAAUAACCCACAACUUUCAGCCUUCUUUGUUUCAUAGGAAAUUGAAUGAAGUUGUGAUGGAAUUAAUCAUAUACAGUUUAAUGCGUUUCUUUGAGCAUUAAACUUUAACGCCUAGAUAAACGUACUAUACUGUUUUGGCUAAUAGGAUUGCAUCUGAUAUUUUUUGUUAACAACAGCAUGUAACUUUUAUUACUUGACAUCUGUAUAAAUUGUGUAACCUGUAACUUUUGCCACUUUUUUCAACACCAUUUGGACUGCGACAGCAUAUAAUAUCAUGUAAAUUGUAACUGAAUAUACCUUUAGUGACGUGACAGCUAUAUGAAUUUUGUAAUCUGUAAAUUUUCCCACUUAAUUCAAUUCCGUUUGGACCUUGGUAACAGCUAAUAAUACCAUGUAAAAUUGCAACUAUUUUUACUUAGGAAAUUUCAUUGAUAAUCUCUGCUAACAUCUGAAAACAACUGAUAAGUAUGUAACGUACCUUUUGCUGCUUUUUCAAUUCCUUCUGUACUGUGACAACAACAGUGAUAACUAUGUAAAUUGCAACUAUUUUGCCAGCCGAAGUUCUUAAUGCUUUUGUAAAUAACUGAAAAUAUCUUAAGUUGCUUUGUGAUAACUAUGCAACUUGAGUAAAGUAACUUUUGCAACUGUUUUUUUCAAUCCCUUCUGUAUUGUGACAACAACAUUUAUUUCUACUUAAAUUGUAUCUUAUUUUUACAAGAUUUUUUUAUUAGUAUCUCUGUUAAUAACUGAAAAUAACUUAUGUGGCUUGAUAACUGUGCCACUUUCUCAAUCUCAUCUGUACCAUGACAACAACAAUUACUAUGUAAAUUGUAAUUAUUUUUACUAGCUAAAAUUCUUAGUGCCUACGACAACUGAAAAUAAGUUAAGUUUCUUUAUAACUAUGUAACUUGUAAACGUCAACAAAAUUGAUUGACAUUUUUGUAUCUAUCUCCUUUUAAGCUCUACUUUUUCUACGAAAAGUCGACAGGUCUUGUUUUUGGUUCCAUUGUUUUUGGUUCCAUUGUACUCUCCCUGGAGUCGUCAUCACCGUUCAGUUGAUUAAAGUUUUUGAUAAAGUCAGAUAUCUCUGUUACUAUCAAAGCUAUUGACUUGAAACUUAAAAUAGUCAUUUACUAUCAAAGUCUACACCAGGAGAAACAAAACCCGCAUAACGCUGUAUUGGA